CUGUAACUGGGAGGACGAGGGAGAUUGUCCGAAGGUGGACCGGAAGUGGAAGCGAACUGUGGACGAGGCUGCGAUGAAAAUCUCCACUUGCAUUGCCGAUGCAAUCGACGGAUGGCAAAGGGAAAACAGAAUUUUACAAGGCAUCGACGUCGAGAUCGUUAAUCAAUUCGCAAAAGAGUUCGGUCUUCUUAAUCAUCAAGUAGAGGACAUUGAAAAGUUCCUAACACACAGCAAAGGCCAGACGAGAAUGAUGCAGACGGUGAAAGUGAUGCCUGUACGAUGAAUAUUCGGCAAGAAGACCGGAAAGGUAGAGAGGACUUACAGCUAGCUAGGCGGCGCUGUCAGCUGUAUCGGUAUGUUGGACACCAACAACAAGGAGGUCCGGGAACUGUUCAGGAAAACAUAUACCGAUAAGGCGUCACCUACAACUAAGGCUGCGACCAUGGCCAAAGCCAGUACGAUUUACUUGCGGAGCAUCCUUGAUCACAAGGACAUGCCGACUAAACUGAGAAAGUUCUUUGAAAGAUUCUUCAAAUAUAUAGACGAAGCCGCUAA